rnacentral:rRNA from 1 species
UACGAAGGGUGCAAACGUUGCUCGGAAUUAUUGGGCGUAAAGCGCACGUAGGCGGCUUUGCAAGUCGGAUGUGAAAUCCCUCGGCUCAACCAAGGAAGUGCAUCCGAAACUGCAGAGCUUGAGUACCAAAGAGGAUCGCGGAAUUCCAGGUGUAGCGGUGAAAUGCGUAGAUAUCUGGAGGAACACCGGUGGCGAAGGCGGCAUCCUGGACCGGCAUUGACGCUGAGGCGCGAAAGCCAGGGGAGCCAAACGGG